UACAGAGGGGGCAAGCGUUGUUCGGAAUUACUGGGCGUAAAGGGCGCGUAGGCGGCCUGCUAAGUCGAACGUGAAAUCCCUGGGCUCAACCCAGGAACUGCGUCCGAUACUGGUUGGCUUGAAUCCGGGAGAGGGAUGUGGAAUUCCAGGUGUAGCGGUGAAAUGCGUAGAUAUCUGGAGGAACACCGGCGGCGAAGGCGGCCAACUGGACGAAUACUGACGCUGAGACACGAAAGCGUGGGAGCAACAGG
rnacentral:rRNA from 1 species